UAUGAAGUGUUUGUCAUAAGUAGAGGAUUGUUUGUAAAAUAAACAUGCACAUACGUUAAACCUGAACGGAACUGAAAAUGCAACAGGGUAUAUCUGAACCUGAGGCAAAACAAAAUAGGGGUAGGUGGGAUACGAACCCCAGACCCGUCGCUUAUAACGCACGGCGAUGACCAACUUACCUAACAUAUAGCUUGCAAACGACAGCACUGACACAGCUAAACAUUGUAUAAUCCAAAACGGAUCGAGGCAAAAAAAGAAGCCUUUUGGCCAAGGCGCUGAGCUCCUCACCGGCAACGAAUGGGAAGGC
rnacentral:lncRNA from 1 species